rnacentral:rRNA from 1 species
GUCGAGCGGAUGAGAGGAGCUUGCUCCUUGAUUUAGCGGCGGACGGGUGAGUAAUGCCUAGGAAUCUGCCUGGUAGUGGGGGAUAACGUUCCGAAAGGAACGCUAAUACCGCAUACGUCCUACGGGAGAAAGCAGGGGACCUUCGGGCCUUGCGCUAUCAGAUGAGCCUAGGUCGGAUUAGCUAGUUGGUGAGGUAAUGGCUCACCAAGGCGACGAUCCGUAACUGGUCUGAGAGGAUGAUCAGUCACACUGGAACUGAGACACGGUCCAGACUCCUACGGGAGGCAGCAGUGGGGAAUAUUGGACAAUGGGCGAAAGCCUGAUCCAGCCAUGCCGCGUGUGUGAAGAAGGUCUUCGGAUUGUAAAGCACUUUAAGUUGGGAGGAAGGGCAUUAACCUAAUACGUUAGUGUUUUGACGUUACCGACAGAAUAAGCACCGGCUAACUUCGUGCCAGCAGCCGCGGUAAUACGAAGGGUGCAAGCGUUAAUCGGAAUUACU